UAACACAUGCAAGUCGAGCGGUUACAGAUAGUAUCUUGCUACAUUGCUGACUAGCGGCGGACGGCUGCCCUUGGUUGUGAACUUGCACUUGAGGUGUUGGACUCAUAUUGGAUACGACUGCUCAUACCGCGCUUGUGCACCGUUGGAUGAGGUGUCGGCUCUCACCUUGUUGGGGGCCAAGUGGCCUUACCUAACUGUUAUCUAUAUGUGAUUUCAAAGGAUCAUUCCCCACCUGGUUUGAGAGAAUGAUCCCCCACUCCGACACUGAGACACGGUGCAGACUCCUGCACAAGGCAGGAAAGUCUAAUAUUGCACUGCGGCGUGAAGCCUGAUGGCCUCUGGCCUCGUGAGUUCUUACGGCCUUCAAGAUGAUGACUGCUUCCAAUCAAGAAGAACCGGUGUGAUUUAAUACCUCAUAUCUGUGUAAUUCACUGACACCUAAAGUCCGGCUAACUCCUUGCCUUAAAGAGCUCUAAUACGGAUGAAGCAAGCGUUGGUGAAAUUUACUGGGUUUACUCUGUAACUGCGCGCUUUGCUAUUCGACAUGAGUAUGCCCCAGGAUCACCCAGUUUACUGCGUUUCGGACUGAUUCACUAGAAUGAGAUAGAAUAUGGUAUGAUUUCGCGUGUAUCGGGGUCAUGAGUGAAGCU
rnacentral:rRNA from 1 species